rnacentral:rRNA from 1 species
AGCGAACGUUAGCGGCGGGCCUAACACAUGCAAGUCGAGCGAGAAAGGGGCUUCGGCCCUGAGUAAAGCGGCGGACGGGUGAGUAACACGUAGGUAAUCUUCCCUUGAGCGGGGGACAACAGGCCGAAAGGCCUGCUAAUACCGCAUAAGUUUCAGGAGACUCCGGUCUCCUGAAGGAAAGCUAGGCCGCAAGGUCCGGCACUCGAGGAGAAGCCUGCGUCGCAUCAGCUAGUUGGGGGGGUAACGGCCUACCAAGGCGAAGACGCGUAGCUGGUCUGAGAGGAUGAUCAGCCACACUGGGACUGAGACACGGCCCAGACUCCUACGGGAGGCAGCAGUGGGGAAUAUUGGACAAUGGGCGCAAGCCUGAUCCAGCCACGCCGCGUGAGUGAUGAAGGCCUUCGGGUCGUAAAGCUCUGUGGGGAGGGACGAACCGCCGGACGUGCAUAGCGUAAGGCAUGACGGUACCUCCUUAGCAAGCACCGGCUAACUUCGUGCCAGCAGCCGCCGUAACAC